GCUGGGCGUGAUGGUACUCGCCUGUAAUCCCAGCAACUCAGGAGGCUAAGGCAGGAGGAUCACAUGUUUGAGGCCAGUCUCAACAACUAAACAAGGCCUUAAGCAACUCAGGGAGACCCUGAUUCAA
rnacentral:sRNA from 1 species